CCUGGAACUGGACCUGGACCUGGACCAGGUACACUGUGACCUCGUCAGGUCACAGUGUAAAUCUCUGACCAGCAGCAGUGCGACUCAUGUAACCGGCUGACGGACCAAUGAGAGAGGCCAUAUGGCAGGUAGACAGGAAGUGAGUCAGGGUCCAGACUCUGGAGGACUCUGAGCAGUAGGUCCACACACACACCUGACAGGACUGUGUGUCUGCAGACCCUGAAGUCCACUCACUCAGCCAGUCCACAGCCACAGCAACAUGUGCCUGCAAUGCAUUCUGGGACUUGCAGUCCAGCACUGGUGAGAGUUAAAAAGGCAGCUGCUGAAAUAAGAUUCACCUCAGAGAAGGGUUACUGAGACCUGGACCCUGAGACCUGGACCUGAACCUGAGACCUGGACCUGAACCCUGAGACCUGAACCCUGAGACCUGGACCCUGAGACCUGAACCUUGAGACCUGGACCCUGAGACUUGAGUCCUGAACCCUGAGACAUGAACCCUGAGACCUGAACCCUGAGACCUGAGUGUGGACCCUGAGACCUGGACCCUGAGACCUGGACCCUGAGACCUGGACCUGAGACCUGAACCUGAGACCUGGACCCUGAGACCUGAACCUGAGACCUGGACCCUGAGACCAUAACCCUGAGACCUGAUCCCUGAGACCUGGACCUGAACCCUGAGACCUGGACCCUGAGACCUGGACCCUGAGACCUGAACCUGAGACCCGGACCCUGAGACCCGGACCCGGAGACCUGAGCCCCGGGUCAGAGCUCAGUUAAAGAACUCUUGUCCUGACACUGAGACAUCUGUCCCUCGGAGGUUUGAGGGUUUUCUGUCUUUGUUGAAUUUAAAAGGUUGAAUCACACAAAGUGUUCAGAUCACAAUCUUAGUUUAUCGAGUCAGAGCCGCUCAGAGGUCAAAGGUCAUGUUGGCAGCCCCUGUCAGCCUCUGGUUUCAUUAACACUGAGGGGGUCGUGCUGCUCCACGGCUCACUGACCUUUGAUGCUGGAAUCUGUCGGACUUUAUUUAUGAUGUGUAUGGUGUUUAAACCAAACGAGUCCUCGGGGACGAUAACGACUUUCUGAUCGGCAUGAACAUUUUGUUUCUCGUGAACUGAGUCAGUUUAAUCACAAACAGCUGAUGCAGAUCAAUUAAAACCCAUGUUUUAAUGACUCCGGAGGUUUGAACGGUGCAGUGAUGUGGUUUCCCUCCACUGGAACUAAGAGGAUAAAACCAGGGAAAACAGACAGGAGCGUCCACAUACUUUUGGCCACAUAGUGUGGACACUGAGGCUCAGACACGCGCCUCUGUGCCGCCCCCUGCUGGACACACACACCUACAACAUGUGGGUCAAACCAACCAGCAGGUUAUUAACUGACUAACAUUAGAUAUGAAUUCAUCUGCAGCUUCAAUCAAUCUUUUUUACAUUUCUACCACUGGAAUUAUUGAUUAUUGACAGAAAUCUGUUCUAAUGACCUAAUAAAUAUAUUAUUAAAUAACAAUAUGAAGAUGUUUUAGGUGGAUUGUUGUGUCCUGUUGAAACCUCGUCCAGAUGACAGCAGCAGCGUCCCCUGGUGGACAGUUACACACCUGCAGCUGCAGAAAGACGUCCUAAUAUUAUCAGAAAAAUCUUAUUUUGAAAAUAAAGUAGUAAUAUUAAAAAAACUGAUGAAAACAUCAUGAUUUAGAAGGAAAAUGAAAAAGAGGUGUUUCAAUAAUGAAGGGUUUUUUUUGGAGGAAAAGUUGUGACAAAAAAAUCUUAUUUUGAAAACAAAGUUGCAUUUCAACAGGAAGUAAAGUAUUUUGAAAUGUUGUUAAAUAAAUAAACAGAAUCUUUAUGGUUGGAUAUGUCGAAAAAUAAGAAAAAAGUUUGAGAAAGCUUUACAGAGAAGAAAAAACAAUCAAUAAUAUUAAUAUUAUCAUCAAAUGAUAAAAUCCAGCUGAAUCAGAUGAUGUGACUUUUAUUCACAAACACAAAGAGACACAUAAACAAGCUCUUACUCAUCCACCUGGCUGUAGCCAUGGUUACCGAUCAGUCCCAUGAUGCUGUGUGAUGUCAGGGUGUGGGAGGGGCCGUGGGAGGGGCCAUAAUUCUACCAAUAAGACUCAUUAUUAAUCAUUGACAACAUCACUAAACGAUGUUUGAACUACGUUUAUUUUACAUUCUUUCCUUUACAAAAAGAAUUUUAAUUUAAAACACGGUGUGUGUGUGUGUGUGUGUGUGUGUGUGUGUGCGUGUAUUUUAAAGGAACAUUGCACCAUUUUUUAAAACCCUUUAUGAACAGGAGGAUUUGACCAAAUGUUGAACUGCUCCUCUAAAUUCUGUCUGAAACAUGAUGAGGUUUGGUUGUAGUCCUUGUGUGUUUGUGCGUGUGUUUGUAUGUGUGU